rnacentral:rRNA from 1 species
AGUGAACGCUGGCGGUAGGCCUAACACAUGCAAGUCGAACGGCAGCACAGUAAGAGCUUGCUCUUACGGGUGGCGAGUGGCGGACGGGUGAGGAAUACAUCGGAAUCUACUUUUUCGUGGGGGAUAACGUAGGGAAACUUACGCUAAUACCGCAUACGACCUACGGGUGAAAGCAGGGGAUCUUCGGACCUUGCGCGAUUGAAUGAGCCGAUGUCGGAUUAGCUAGUUGGCGGGGUAAAGGCCCACCAAGGCGACGAUCCGUAGCUGGUCUGAGAGGAUGAGCAGCCAAACUGGAACGAAGACACGGUCCAAACUCCUAGGGGGGGCAGAGGGGGGGAAUAUGGACAAGGGGGCGAAAGCCUAGUCCGGCCGAACGGGGGGGGUGAAGAAGGCCUUCGGGUUGUAAAGCCCUUUUGUGGGGAAAAAAAAGAAGCAGGUUAAUACCCCGCUGUUAUAACGGUACCAAAAAAAAAAGCACCGGUUAACUUCGU